rnacentral:rRNA from 1 species
UACAGAGGGUGCAAGCGUUGUUCGGAAUUAUUGGGCGUAAAGGGAGUGUAGGCGGCUCAUUAAGUCUGCUGUGAAAUCUACGGGCUCAGCCCGUAACGUGCAGCGGAAACUGGUGAGCUUGAGUGUCGGAGAGGAUAGGGGAAUACCCAGUGUAGAGGUGAAAUUCGUAGAGAUUGGGUGGAACACCAGUGGCGAAGGCGCCUGUCUGGCUGACAACUGACGCUGAGACUCGAAAGCAUGGGGAGCAAACAGG